CCUCCCUCCCUUCGCCUCCUCUCUAUUCCACUCUCAGUCAUCCAUCAGUCUAGUUACGACUGCCAACUCCAUGCCUGCUCCCCGGGCACUGCUGAGAGGGAGCGACAUGGGCAGGCAGAGAGAAAGGAGCAGCGUCGAGGUAAAAAGAGGUGGAGCAGAAGGUGGGAGACAGGGACGCUUCGGCUCAGUUAGAUCAGAUCAGAGUUUUCUGCUUUUUGAUUUCUUUUUUUAUCUUCUCCUACUUCUCUGUGAGCUGAACAGGCAAGCAUGACAAAAAGAGCAGAUGGUCGCGGCAAUUAGAGAUCGCAGGCAGCAUCUUCCAGCAUGAGGCCCCGCUGUAGCACCAGGAGAGACCACCUGGAUGACUCAAGCUUCGAGGAUGACCUCACGCUGCUCGGGCUGGCUUCCAAACAGCCAGCAGAACCUGUUCCUUUCUCCCAGAUCUUUCUUUCUUCUCCUUGCUAUCUGCCUAUCGCUGUCCUCGUGUCUGCAACUGUAUCCCUACUCCAUUGUAUCUUUUUCACGUGUUACAUCUACUAUUCAGUGUAUCUUAUCUGGCGAAAAGCUCAUGCUACAUGUUUUUUUUCUCCUUAAUUUUCUUCCCCUAUCUGCCUUUUAUUUUCCUUUAAGGUUUCCAUCUGUUUUGGUGCCCCCCUCCUUCGUUUGCUGCCUUUAUUAAACGACCCCCCGUCCCUCUCUCAUUCUAUCUCUUUGUCUCUCUAUCUGUCUUUUCUCCCUCCCUUGCGCUUUGUUGUCUAAACAAAGUGGCCUUUAUCAGGAUGAGCUGCAACCCAAACAAGCCAAACAAAAGAUAUGGGCGAGAAAAUCUGCCCGCAGAAGAGGGAGGAUCUUAUCGUGCCAGCCUUUGUGUGCCAGCCUGCCAACUGGCGAUGCCCCCUGCCGCCGCCAACCCCUCCCCGAUCUCACACACACACACAUUAAUAUGCCAAAUGUUGGCAUCACCGCAACGAGCUGGCACCUGACCUGGCCGAAAGGAAAGUGGAGGCGACGUGAAGACGAACUGUUCGAUGGAGGGAGCGCCAUCUUUGAGAUGAUAUUCUCUGACAAGCUAUAAAUCCUGAAGUGAGGUGCAGAGAACACCUCAGAUAUGCUCCUUUUGCUUUAUCUAAACACUUUACAGAAGGGAUUCACCGUUCAGGCUUGUACCAGCACUAAUACAGAAUUCCAGUUUUCCUUUACACCAAAGUGGGAUGGAUGCAAUCUCUCCUGAUCAGACCAGAAGACAUGCGACUAAACAUAUUACUGGUCAAAUAAAUAAUAAAUAAACUGAACUAAAAAAGUGAAUUGGCCUUAAAAGACAAAAUAAUGCUGUAGGUUCCUUGAUAGAUUCAGUAAUUUUGAAUGCAGCAGAAAAUUAAGGGAUAACAAGAUUGUCUCCAUUUCUAUAUCACCCCACCUACAGCCCAGACUGCUGGAGAUAGGCACCAGCUUCCCCGCGACCUACUAUAGAAGAAGCGAUAGAAAAUGACUGACUGAAGAGUUCAUAACUCCUGCUUGGAAUGAGGUGUUUACGUCCUGUUUGCAGUAUCAGUGGGAACUGUAAAGGGCAUUAACAAACCCUGUUGUUUAAAAUUGCAUUUAUAACUACACUGAUAAUAAAUUAAUCUGAAGAUCAUUG